AAGCAAACAUUGCACCAAUAAUAAAAGAGAACGCAAUCCCUCAUCCCAUUUAUAGCAAGUAAAAGCCAUGUGCAUUCGAGUGGAUUGCAAACAAUGUGGAAAAUAUUCAUGGAGUGGUUGUGGCAAACACCUUGCCACAAUCUAUGGCAGCAUAGACAAGGGAAAGCACUGCAUGUGCCGGCCGUGGCCUGGCGUUAUUAUCCCAACUGAGAAGAAACCUACCACCCAACCACCACCGAAAACUUCAACAUCAACCACUACAACAGAUGUUGAAAAAUCUUCAAAGAUUGAUGUUGGUCUGUGUUAGAGGGUCAUGAUGGUGCUUAUACCACUUUGCUCCACCACAUACAUGAAUACGUCAAGGCUUGGCUAGCUUUAUGGAACAGUGAUAUAAUUAGAAAUAAUGUAGUGGGUAACUGCGGUCAAUGUUGUAUUGACCAAUCCUGUUCCUUUACUUUUCUAAAUGCUAAGCGUAUGGAUUUAUAAAUAAAGAAUCAAACCCUCAUUAUCUUGUGCAGGGUGCCAUAGUGCUUCAUUUCAA